CAACAAAAAUACAUUUACAUAAUAAAAAUCAGUACAUUUAUUCCAUGCUAAGUAUACACUGUUACCUGUUUUUUCCCCAAGUGAUAUUUCCCUUGCACAAUUGUAUUCACUAUUUUUCGCAUUAGUUCAGUACUAUUCAUUACAUUUGCUUUUUAUUGGUUAAGCACAAAUUAUAAAAGCACAAAAUGUUAACUAAAGUGACUUUUUUUUCUGCACACAGCUAAUCUUUACUAUGUUUUUUUAUUUUUAUAAAUGCAUGUCUUCAAGUUUAGGUAUGUUUUAAGAUUGUGUUAUGUUUAAUAUGUUUAAUAUGAGGACUUGUUUGUGCCAUUAUAAUACAAUACUGGAGAAUGGCAUCAACUCGUACUAUCAAGUAAAAACAACUAUGUAUAACAGUGUGCAUUUGUCAACGCAUGUAUUAUUAUUAUUAUAAGUUUAUAAUUAGUUGUGGUUAUAGUUAACUUUUAUUUAUUUUUUUCAUUUUCUCAUCUUUUAGUCAGACUGGGAAAAGUCUACCAAAAACUCUUCUGAGCAGUCAAAGACCACCUCUUAUUCAGCCACCUUGGGAAUCUUCUGCAUUAUCAAUAUAAAUACCCAUACAAAUUCUGUCUAAUCCGGAUGGUAAAGUUUGGCUUAGAGUAGUGGCUUAGCUCACCCUCAGGGCUCUGAGCUGUAGUGAUUAUGGUUUAAGUGCCCAGGAUUAGACAAGCAGAUGGAGGAAUCCUAUUUUACUGCAGUGCCAUUUGCACAAUGCUACAUUCAGGACCAGCCUUGUAAAAUGUUCUCACGACUUGUUGUCAAACUUGCUCAAUUGUACUCUAAAGGAGUAAAAACAUGUUAACUGGAGUGAUGACUCAUUCUUUAACAUCAUGCAAUAUGCUGGGUCUGAUGGGUGUCAUGAGAAAGUUUUUUGGAUUAUGUUACAUCGUCUUGGUAAGACCUGACUCUGAACUCAUUGAGCCUGUCUAGUUUCGAUUAUGGCCUGCAAACAAUUAAUUGUCAGAUAAUGGACUUAAUUCUAACUAAAGCUCUAAGGGCUGUAUGGAAGCAAAACUUCUUGUGAAAACGUUAUACUCCACAAAAUUAUUUUUCUUUCUUUCUUUCUUUCUAUCUGUCUGUCUGUCUAUUCAAUAUUGUGUGAGCUGUACAAGUUUGGUUGUGAUUUGUAUUUAAAGCAAGAUGAAUACAAAACUGCUUGUGCAAAAAAGGUGAAAUUGCACACCAAUUAAACAUGUUUGAUGCACAGAAACAUAGACACAUGUUUUAAGUCACUUUUUUUUUUUUAAGUCUGCUGAUUGUAUAGUCCGUGGAUUAUCUUUAGAAAUUGUGGAAUCAAUCUGGAAAUAUUAUUUUUUUAGAGUUAGAAUUUUUUUACACAGCAAAUAAUAACGAAUAGUCAAACAUACUAUUCGGGGAAGGAAAGGGCAGGGGAACUUGGAAAUAGGAAAGGGGGAUCCAUUCUUAUUAGUAAACAUAU